rnacentral:rRNA from 1 species
CCCUUAGAUGCUCUGGGCCGCACGCGCGCUACACUGGUCGAUGCAACGAGUUUCUUUCCUUGGCCGACAGGCCUGGGCAAUCUUUGAACAUCGAUCGUGAUCGGGAUAGAUUCUUGUAAUUUUUGAUCUUAAACGAGGAAUUCCUAGUAAACGCAAGUCAUCAGCUUGCAUUGAUUACGUCCCUGCCCUUUGUACACACCGCCCGUCGCACCUACCGAUUGAGUGAUCCGGUGAAUAAUUCGGACUGCAGCAGUGUUCAGUUCCUGAACGUUGCAGCGGAAAGUUUAGUGAACCUUAUCACUUAGAGGAAGGAGAAGUCGUAACA